rnacentral:rRNA from 1 species
AACGUAGGUGGCGAGCGUUAUCCGGAUUUACUGGGUGUAAAGCGUGUGCAGGCGGGAAGGUAAGUGGUGUAUGAAAUCGCCCGGCUCAACCGGGCGGGGUUAUGCCAGACUGCCAUUCUAGAGGACGAGAGAGGGGCGUGGAAUUCCGGGUGUAGUGGUGAAAUGCGUAGAGAUCCGGAGGAACCCCAGAGGCGAAGGCGGCGCCCUGGCUCGUACCUGACGCUCAGACACGACAGCAUGGGGAG